AACGAACGCUGGCGGCAUGCCUAACACAUGCAAGUCGAACGAGACCUUCGGGUCUAGUGGCGCACGGGUGCGUAACGCGUGGGAACCUGCCCUUAGGUUCGGAAUAACUCCCCGAAAGGGGUGCUAAUACCGGAUAAUGUCUUCGGACCAAAGAUUUAUCGCCUUUGGAUGGGCCCGCGUUGGAUUAGCUAGUUGGUAGGGUAAAAGCCGACCAAGGCGACGAUCCAUAGCUGGUCUGAGAGGAUGCUCAGCCACACUGGGACUGGGACACGGCCCAGACUCCUGCGGGAGGCAGCAGUGGGGACUAUUGGACAGUGGGCGAAAGCCUGAUCCAGCACUGCCGCGAGGGUGAUGAAGGGCUUAGGGUUGUAAAGCUCUUUUACCCGGGAUGAUAAUGACAGUACCGGGAGAAUAGGCUCCGGCUAACUCCGU
rnacentral:rRNA from 1 species